UACGGAGGGGGCGAGCGUUAUUCGGAAUUAUUGGGCGUAAAGAGCGUGUAGGCGGUCCGGUAAGUCAGCUGUGAAAGUCAAGGGCUCAACCCUUGAAUGCCGGUUGAUACUGUCGGGCUAGAGUCCGGAAGAGGCGAGUGGAAUUCCCGGUGUAGCGGUGAAAUGCGCAGAUAUCGGGAGGAACACCAAUGGCGAAGGCAGCUCGCUGGGACGGUACUGACGCUGAGACGCGAAAGCGUGGGGAGCAAACAGG
rnacentral:rRNA from 1 species